UUAUCUCUGUAGAGUCUGCAUAUCAAUAAGCGGAGGAAAAGAAACUAACAAGGAUUCCCUUAGUAACGGCGAGUGAAGCGGGAAGAGCUCAAAUUUGAAAUCUUCAAGGGUUCUACCUUUACGAAUUGUAGUUUAAAGAAGUGUUUUCUGUUAGAGUUGAGUACAAAGUUCCUUGGAAUAGGGACAUCAUAGAGGGUGAGAAUCCCGUAUUUGGUUAUUCAUUCUAGCUUUGUGACACACUUUCAAAGAGUCGGAUUGUUUGGGAAUGCAGUCCAAAAUGGGUGGUAAAUUUCAUCUAAAGCUAAAUAUUGGCGAGAGACCGAUAGCGAACAAGUACCGUGAGGGAAAGAUGAAAAGAACUUUGAAAAGAGAGUUAAACAGUACGUGAAAUUGUCAAAAGGGAAGCGUUUGACACCAGUGUUGUUUUUCCGAAAAUCAAUUACGAAUGGCUUGAUUCUGUGUUGUAUUGACCUUAUCAGCUUUCUUCACUUUUUUCGAGUCUUUCUUAAUGCACUUUUCGGUUAACAAGUCAACAUCAAUUUCUUUUGUUGUAAAAGAGUAUUCGGAAGGUGGCUUUCUUUUCGGAGAAAGUGUUUAUAGCCCUAUACUUCUACAAUCGGAGAGAUUGAGGUCUGCAGCGUAGAUCCUUCGGGGUUAGAUACAUUUGUGCUAAGUUGUAGCUUUUCAUAGACAACUUGUUGACUAUGUUUAGUCAUGCGGCUUACUCGCUUAUGCUAUUUUACCUACGCUUAGGAUGUUGAAGAUGUAGCACAUCAU
rnacentral:rRNA from 1 species